CAGGAUGAACGCUAGCUACAGGCUUAACACAUGCAAGUCGAGGGGCAGCAUUGGGAUAGCUUGCUAUUUCAGAUGGCGACCGGCGCACGGGUGAGUAACGCGUAUCCAACCUUCCUGCCAGUAGGGAACAGCCCGGCGAAAGUCGGAUUAAUGCCCUAUGUUCUUCAAUGCGGACAUCUAAGUUGAAGGAAAGAUUCAUCGCUGGCAGAUGGGGAUGCGUCCGAUUAGCUUGCCGGCGGGGUAACGGCCCACCGGGGCGACGAUCGGUAGGGGUUCUGAGAGGAAGGUCCCCCACACUGGUACUGAGACACGGACCAGACUCCUACGGGAGGCAGCAGUGAGGAAUAUUGGUCAAUGGGCGUAAGCCUGAACCAGCCAAGUAGCGUGCAAGGACGACGGCCCUACGGGUUGUAAACUGCUUUUAUGCGGGGAUAAAGUGCGGCACGUGUGCCGCUUUGCAGGUACCGCAUGAAUAAGGACCGGCUAAUUCCGUGCCAGCAGCGGC
rnacentral:rRNA from 1 species